UACAGAGGUCUCAAGCGUUUGUUCGGAUUCAUUGGGCGUAAAGGGUGCGUAGGCGGCGCGGUAAGUCGGGUGUGAAAUCCCUCGGCUUAACCGGGGAACUGCGUCUGAUACUGGAUGGCUUGAGUUUGGGAGAGGGAUGCGGAAUUCCAGGUGUAGCGGUGAAAUGCGUAGAUAUCUGGAGGAACACCGGUGGCGAAGGCGGGUCUCUGGGCCGGAUACUGACGCUGAGGAGCGAAAAGCGUGGGGGAGCGAACAGG
rnacentral:rRNA from 1 species